rnacentral:rRNA from 1 species
GUCUUUAAGAUUUUAAUUUAAAGUCUAAUCUGCCCACUGAGAUAUUAAAUGGCUGCAGAAUUUUUUACUGUACAAAGGUAGCAUAAUAAUUUGUUUUUUAAUUAAAAACUUGAAUGAAAGAUUAAAUGAAAUAUAAACUGUUUCAAUUAAAUUUAUUUUGAAUUUUUUAUUUUUGUAAAAAAACUAAAAUAUUUAUUAAAGACGAUAAGACCCUAUAGAAUUUUAUUUAAUUAAUUAUAAAAAUAUUUUUAAUUAAAUUUUAUUGGGGUAAUAAAAAAAUUAAAAUAAUUUUUUUUAAAAAAUACAUUUUAAUAGGAAGAUUUUUCUUAAUUUUUAAAGAUAAUAAUUAAUUACCUUAGGGAUAACAGCAUAAUAUUUUUUAAAAGAUCAUAUUAAUAAAAAAGAUUAU